CUUGCCCAAAAUUCUCCACAAUCCUCCACCUCCGCUCUUCCAUUUAGGAUAUAAAAGAGGGUUUUCUCAGACCUUCUGCCAAUGCGCAGACAGAUGAAAGACGACACAGAGGUUCUCAUCAUUCUGCUGAGGAACUGAAAGCGGGUUUCCCACUCCAAUGUCUUAGUUUGGAAUCACGGCUUUUGUCCCCUCUCCGAGAAUGAAUAAUCACCAAGAAAAGAGAGGCCGUGGUGGCACUCAGCAAGGAGAAGGCCAUGUUUAGUCGAGCACCAGGAUCAUGAAGCCCAAGAGCGAGAAGCCAGACAAGUUCAAGUCCGGUAUCUCCCAGGCUCUUCUGGAGCUGGAGAUUAACUCACACCUCAAGGUUCAGUUCAGGGAGCUGAAUAUUACAGCAGCCAAGGAAACUGAAGAUGGUGGUGGUGGGAAAGCUAUCAUAAUUUUUGUUCCCUUUCCUCAACUGAAAUCUUUCCAGAAAAUCCAAGUCUGGCUAGUACGUGAAUUGGAGAAAAAGUUUGGGGGAAGCAUGUUGUCUUUAUUGCUCAGAGGAGAAUUCUGCCUAAGCCAACCCGAAAAAGCUGUACAAAAAAUAAGCAAAAGCAUCCCAGGAGCCGUACCCUGAAAGCCAUGCAUGACUCAAUCCCCGAGGACUUGGUCUUCCCAAGUGAAAUUGUGGGCAAGAGAAUCCACGUGAAACUGGAUGGCAGCCGUCUCAUAAAGGCUCAUUUGGACAAAGCGCAGCAAAACAAUGUGGAACGCAACGUUGAAACUUUUUCUGGUGUCUACAUGAAGCUCACAGGCAAGGAUAUAAAUGUUGAAUUCCCAGAGUUUCAACUCUAAACAAAAAUGACUAAAUAAAGUGUAUUCACAGUAAAAAAAAAAAAAAAAAUGUGGCUUAUCCUGCUUGGUGGAAUAAGAAAAGUUGGCAGCAAAAAAUAUAAUCUGCAAAAUUCUGAU
rnacentral:lncRNA from 1 species